rnacentral:rRNA from 1 species
UACGAAGGGUGCAAGCGUUACUCGGAAUUACUGGGCGUAAAGCGUGCGUAGACGGUUACAUAAGUCGGGUGUGAAAGCCCCGGGCUCAACCUGGGAAUUGCAUUCGAGACUGCGUAGCUAGGGUGCGGAAGAGGGAAGCGGAAUUUCCGGUGUAGCGGUGAAAUGCGUAGAUAUCGGAAGGAACACCAGUGGCGAAAGCGGCUUCCUGGUCCAGCACCGACGUUCAGGCACGAAAGCGUGGGGAGCAAACAGG